CAGCAUCAACUUGUACCUCAAGCUAGAACAAAAUGAGGAAGCAAAACUUCUGAAACAAUGGCGUAACUAUGAAGACAAAGCUUGCAAAGACUUCGUGGUUUCAAGGCUUAGUAAUGAAUGCUUACAUGAAAGAAGUGUGUAUCCAGAGCUAUGUUGUAAUCCCAACUCAUCAUCAUUCAAAACAUCCUAAACAUCACUUAUCUUGAAGUUUUAAUAAUAAGAAAAUAGGAAGCUGCUGUGGAACAGAGACUCCAACUGACUGCAGGAUUCUAACUGCACAAUGAUUUUGUAUGCUCCUGUUCUCUUCUUCCAUAUAACAGCAAACAUAGUGUAUUUCUCCUUUUCUAAGGUAUAGCAUGUUCUUCUAGACUCUCCAUGGGCCUGUUUUGUGGAUGGGUCUAAUCACACAGAGGAAACUUCUUUCCUUACUUGAUAGUUACAUGGGGAGAUAAUGUAUUUUUUUCCAGCUUAGCCCCAAAGCAAUCAGUUGACAAGUCCAGAGAAGACCCCUGUGGUAAAGUAAAAUAUAAAGACUCUCUGGGUAGCAGGUGUUUCCCUUUUAAUGACAGCUUAACUGGUGAAGUGUUGAGCAGAACACUGCUGUUUAUCCCUGCUGUUUGCAUUGGGCUGGAAGCCAGCCCAAACCUGCCUUGGUGACAUUUCAGGUCAGAUUAUUGUAUCAGGAAAUUCCCACAUAGCCAGUGGACAGUGGAGGGCUGCAGCCUGCACACGUAUAACUAGAUCCAGAAAAGGAGAAAUUCAAGGAAAGAUGGGCACCCUAGGUCUGUGGGGCAUAAUGAAGGCUUUAAGGGGUCAGAAGAGAACAAAGUACAGGCUUUGCCUGAAAUCUACAUGUCUCUGGUUUAAGAAGAAAAUUACAUAGUAGAUGAUGACAUGAAUGGAGAACAAAUGAAAUCGUGUUUAAGGCUGCAGUGACUCAUCUUCUCAUUCUUUCACACAGUAGAUUUAUGUCAUUAAGCUCCUCGAAUGGUAAAGUACCCACUAGUCCAUGGUUGAGUAUUUGAAAACUAAUAUGCUUGAAACUUCAUUAAAUGUAUAAUCUGGCAGAGUGGGAAAAAUGUAUACAAAUAACUUUUAAGUAUAGUAAAAUUGACCUAAAAACAAAGUUCUUUCCUAAUUUGAAGGCUGCAGAGGAUACUUUUCUGAUCAAGGGUAAUAGAAAAGACUUAAAGAAAACAUGAAUUUGCAUAAGGAGUAGGACUUCCAUCAAUUAGGAGAAAUAAAAUAACUUCAUAAGUUUAGCAAUCAGUAUGAAUUGAAGUUUGGGAAAAGGGAUGCGGACAUGUUAGGGAAUACUAGGAAAAAAGAAGGACCCCUAUUUUAAAUGGAACGAGGCUCUUUGUAGGAAAAUAAUAAAAAUUAAGCCUGAAAGUACAAACUUGGCUAAUAUGGUUGAAGUGCCUCAUAAAUGUGAAUGAGAAAUGUUUUCUUUCAUUGAGAGAUAUUGAAUGUUUUUGAUACCAAAACACCAGCCAUUUGGUCUAGGUCCCAUUGCUCACUGCACAGAAACCCCAUCACAGAGACAACAAGUAUUGCCAAAGAAGAAGGCUUUAUUCAAGUGCUUCAGCCAAAAAGAUGGGAGAUCAAUCUCAAACGCAUCUCUCAAACCAUCUAAAAUUGGGGGUUUACAUAGCAGAGAAGGAAUGUAGUAUGUGUGAGAAAGCAGGGAUUAGGGAUUAGGAUGGUAAGAAAGAGGAGCUGGUCAACAGAAAGCAGGCAGUCAGUUGGUAAAACAGGAAUUAGGGAGAGGUAAGGAAGAUGAGUUUCACUUCCUUAAUACCAUCUGGGAGGCCUGAGAGUCAGUUUCCUAAGAGGGAACUCAGAUAAGACAAAUGUAAAUUUCAAGCUUUAAGACCAGGAGGAUCAAUUUUUAUUUGUCUCAAAAACUGUCAUCUAUGGGCUGGUUUCAUUUUGACCAAGGGAGUGAGGGCAUUGUUUCAGUCUCCACCCAAGGCAGGCAGAGAAUAGAAGGAAUAAGACAGGAUGGAAGGGAAUGGUAAAUGAGGAAAGCAGGGGAAAAGGAGGUCAAAUGGGGCUGGAUUCCUGAUGAAAAAAGAAGAAAAACAUAGAAGGGGAGAGUGGUAGGAAGGGUAGGAAUGAAGUAGGGCUAACUUGGGGCAACAGGAAGAGAAGCAUAGAUACAUGGCAGCUCAGAAAAAGGUCUAAAGGAAAUAUUCGACCAAAGAAAGAAACAGCACACAAAACCAAAGCUCUGGGCUCUCUGUCUCAGACUGUUCAGGCCGCUAUAACAAAAUGCCACAGACUGGGUGGUUUAUAAACAACAGAAAUUUAUUUCCCACAAUUCUAAAGACUGGGAAGUUCAAGAUCAAAUCACCAACAGAUUCAGUGUCUGGUGAGGACCUGCUUCCUAUUCAUAGAUAUCCAUCUUUUGGCAGUUUCCUCACAUGGUGGAAGAGGCAAGGGAUCUUUCUAGGACCUAUUUUAUAGGGCACCAAUCACCCCCCAAAGGCCCCACCUCCUAAUACCAUCAUCUUAAGGGUUAGGAUUUUAACACAGACACUUUGAUUCAGUCCAUUGCAAGUGGUGUUGAGGCAGGAUGUGGUUGGGACCCAAAAUUGCAAACAGAAAGAGCCCAGAGAAGUUCCCUGAGACAACAGCAAGAAAAAAGAAUGAUCUACUGCUCAAGAACCUUGCAGUACAACACACACCAGUUUCAGUGUCUAAUGAUAUAUGUCACUAGUUGGUUGGACAUAUUGAAAAUAAGCAGCCAAAUGAAAGAAAGGGUUUGGUUUACAAAAUGCUUUUCAUCCAAUUUGUCAACUCAUUGACAUGACAUGGGGUGCAGGAAAAAUGGGAACAGAAUUAAAAUAUGGAAUGGCUGGACGAUGCUGAUUGCGUUCAUUUAAAACACAAUUUUAAAUGCAGAUUUUUUAAAAAAUAAAAGCUGGUUUGUUAGAAGAAAAUGGCAGGUUUGAUGUGAGUCAUUGAGUUUGAGAAGCUAGCAAAAUGUCCAGACAGUGACAUUUAGACAAUUGAAAUUCAUGGAUUCAGCUCAGAAGACCAAAUGUGUUGUACAAAGGACCUAGACUUUUAAAAUAUUCACACAUUGGUUAGAGUUGAAACUAGGGGUUGUGUAGAAAGACAAAAAUUAAUAAUAAUCAUACAAAUUCAAAAAUACAUGUUCUAAGUCAGUACAUGGGAACCACAGUGAGGUGACCAUCAAGACCUCAUAAAUGAGUUUCUCCUUAGAGAUUUUAUAUAUAUAUACACACACACACACAUACAUACAUAUAUAUAUACAUAUAUAUACACAUACAUACAUAUAUAUACAUACAUACAUAUAUAUACAUAUAUAUAUAUAUCUCAACAUAAAAUGGAUCCAAAAAAAGACAAGAAGAGAUACUUCAAAAUUUUAAAAAGACAAAAUGAUUCCUGAAAUUAGCUCUAUCCCAUACUCAUAGAACAGUCUUGGCACACGAUAGAUGAUCAACAAAUAUUGGGUUAUUGAAGAUGAAUAUGAAUUGAUUGUAAUUAGAAGAUCCAUGUCUAAGAAACAAAGACAUCAGUGAGAAGUUGGGUUGAUCAGAGCUAGAGCAGCGGAAAGGCAGACACUUCAUCAUUCUCUGUGGCCCCUAGGCAGACUAAAUCAUACUGUGGGAAGGAACAAAUAAGGAUAUUUCAGGCACAAACUUCCAGGACUUAGUUUUAUGAUUGAGUGUUUAAAGGCUUCAGGCUAUUAAAAUCAGAGAACUCUCCCAGUUAUGUUUCUAGGCAUACCUAGGAACCUUCUGAUUAUAAUUUGGCUCCCAUGCAGUUUUUCUACAGGAAGAUGUGCUGUCAAAUAUAAAUGAAUAUUUGUUCCCUUUGGUCAUUAUAUUUCUCGCAAUAAAUUAA
rnacentral:lncRNA from 1 species